GUAUCUAUGCUUUUCUUUACGAAUGUGAACCGGUAAUAGAUCUUUAGUUGGAUACUGCAGAUGAGCUUUAAUUUACAUUCUCUCUUACCAUGGAACUUCUUAUGCAGAGGAUAUGAUGCUUCGUUUUAACAAAUGUUAACUGAAUAUAUGUUUCAGUUUUGUCCCUCACAAUAUCCUGUUUUAUGUAGUUUGCAUCAUUUAAAAAAAAAAAUUCAUGUUAAAAUAAUUUACGAAUCUUGUACUUCUUAGAGAGAAUUAAUUUACGAAGCAACAAUAAUCGGAUCUAUUUAAAACCGUGAUAGUUAGUUUUGUUCAUUCUUUAUCAUCAAUCUGUCCAUGGAAUCUUACUUUCAUCUCUGUAUUUAGGAGUUUGUUGAGCUGAUACGUAAGUAAAUCAAAAGCAUCCGAGAUGACAUUCAUGUUGAAUAGCUAUCACAAGAAGCAGGCAUUUCAAAAUUUCAUAUGUAGUAGGAGUGGGAGAAAACAGAUGGUGGUAAACCUCUUUGUAUCCUUUUCCCCUGCCUCUAAUUUCUGGAGGACUCUAAAUGUUGAUUUUUCCAGUUGGAACUGCAGUUUAUUGUUACUGUAUUGCUUAUUUUGAACUACAGAAGCCUAACAUGGGUGGCACAAACUCGCAUCUGUACUUCCCUCCUUCCGCGUUGGCAGGUUGUCUCAUUUUCUUUAUCCCAGGACCAUCUUAAAGCUUGCGUAGAUACGUUAUAUGCUCUUGUAGAUCUGGCCAUAAAUUCACAGCAACAAUGGAAAGCUGCACAUAAGUAGAUCUUUUAGCAGAAGAUGUGGAGGGUAGAAAGGCUUGCCUAAAGGUGACUAGAAGUAGCAUAUCUGCAUAGACCAGACAUUUUUACAACGCAGUACUGCUUCCACAUCCUCCACUUAUCCAAAUUCCAACAACAUAAGUCGGUCAUAAAAUGGAGCAUCCGGUUAUGCAGGCGAGGACAUAGGAAGAGCCCUGAAACGAUUUAAGCACUUGUGAUCUGUCCAAGCUACAUAGAAGAGCUACGAAUUGAAAAGGACUUUGACACCUCAUUUAUCUUCAAGAGCUGCGAAUUGAAAGCUGCCCAAUUAUGGAAUUUCUGCCAGGAGAGGGACUACUUCAACACCGCGCUUCUCUUCAAAAGCUGUAUAUUUGGGGGUUUGAUGGCCUCCAAUGCCUUCCAGAAGAGGGUUUACCGCCAUCUGUUUCUUUCCUGAAAUCCACCGAUGUUCUGCCCUGGAGAAAAGUUGUGAAAAGAAAGACGUAUGGGAGAAGAUUGAGCCAAGAUAUCUCGCAUUCCUUGGAUAUGGAUAGGCUGCGACCUGAUCAUAUGAGCGCUCUAUUGUUCGGAAAUACUUUUGUUUUCUGACAUUUCACUCUCAACUCUCAAACCGAAGUCAGGACACAAGGGCUUCACUUGGAGAGCUUUUCGUAUGCAAGCUUCCCAAAUUUGCCAAUCACUGCCAGAGGAGAGGAGGGUUAAUUGACCACUGUUUAUACAUUUCAUAUUACAACUAGAACAAUCGUCGAAGGAGGAGAUCGGGAAAGGUUUAAUCCGGCAUAAUAAGCAUCAAAUGCACAAUAUUAUUAACAAAAUGUAUAGUUUAAAAAAUUACAAGCUUUAUUUACUCUUGUUUUCUUUGUUCUGAAUAUUUUGUAUUUCAUUCUUGUAGUAUGAUACGGUGGUUUAAGUUUUCUGUUGUAGUCUUCGAAAUGUGAUUCAAAACAUCAAAUUUUGGAAUAUUUCAUGUAUGCAUUUCAAAAA